rnacentral:lncRNA from 1 species
UGCAUAGACUGUUUUCCAACUCCCUGUACCAAAACUCAAAAUUCUUCCUCGUUUGGGAAAUCUUGAUGAAAGACUGUUGACAUCUAGUGGAAGCCAUAGGAAUUGCAAUCUGGGAGCUGGAAUUGCAUAGAACGCAUAGCUUUCCAUUGAAAGAGCAUUGGCUCAUUGGAUUUUCUCCUACCAUAUCAAUUGUGUUAUAGUCUCAUACAUUAUUUGAACAUUUCUACAAACUCAAAGUGUUUUUUAUCCAAUGGUACCAAUUAUAUGCAUAUCUUGGCUUCUGGGCCUGAGUAACAUGUAUUUUACUUUGGGCACGUCAGUCAGACAGAAAGUGGAGAAAAAUAGACCCUAGCCUGAAGAAGUUUUAACAAGUUUUCCUACUUUUCUCAUUUACUCUCUGUCUCCCUCCCCCUCUCUCUCUCUAUCACCCCUCUCCCUCUCUCUUUCUCUCUCUCUCUCUCUCUUUUUCUCUCUCUCUCACCCCCUUUCUCUCUUUAGACGUGAGGAGUCCCCCAGCCUACUGGAUGUCGUGUGGUCACCCCUAUGACGAGAGGACCGUGUGGAACCCCAAGUUCUGUGUGGUCACUGACUGUCAGAUGCUGCUCCUGGACAAAGAGGAGAAGUUUUUGUUUCAGGAGCAGAGGUCAGAUUCAUGUAAGGUCCGACAGCUGAGACGCACCAUCAGCGUUCCCGUAGAAACCAACUUCCACAGCCCAGAGUUCCACAGCCAGCUGUCCAUCGAGAGCAGUGAGUACACACACACACACACACACACACACACACACACACACACACACACACACAUUGUAUUUAUUUUGUAAUACUCUUUCACAUCCACUAGAGGGUAAGCUUGCAUUUUUCCUCAACUCAGCUCUGGUUUUGUACUCUGAUGUAGUGGGAAAAUAUUGUUGAUAUGGAAAAUCUGAGACCAGUGAUAAGAAAUGUAAUAUUGCUUUGCCUUUAAGAAUGGUUGUUUAAGAUAGUUGUUUUUUGUCCUUUGUUUUUCUGCUUUUUCUAAAUGUGUUUUCUUCUCCUUUAUUGAAUCCAUUAAGUGUGUAUUUUUAGUUUGACUGCAAAACAUGUCUGUUUUAAAAAGGCAUUUAUCCCUUCUAUGAAGCUGAGGAAAAUAUUUUACAUCAACAAUACCUUACCUGUGACAAUACCUGUGACACAGCACAUUUACAUCUACAAUGUCUGCAUAGGGUCCCUUUCAUUCAGUAAUAGUAUAUCAACGUUGGCUCAACAUUGGCUCAACCCUUCAUCAACCUUGUGUCAACAGUUUCCAAAUGUUGUCCCAUCUACAGUGUGUCAGUUUAGAGUCAACACAUAUUUUUAUUCCACUCACUGUCUCACUCAAUUAAAACAAAUUGGAAACAUAGUAUGACAAAGUACAAAGUAGUAGCAUAACAAUCAGUUGUUCAAUUGUGUACGGUAGACAGUAAGCAGGCUAAGCAUCUUUGGCUUGUAUUACAAUAUGUUAUCACAU